GCCGAGCACAAAAGGCCGAGCACAGCAGGCCGAGCCAUGCCCUGCAGCAGCCUUACCGCACCAUGCUUUACUUGCCGGCCACGCCACGACACAUUAAUCAGGAACCAUACCCUGCUACGACUGUCAACGCCUCAUCAUUCCCAAGAAUGUACUGCACUGCGCGCCACAAGCAAGCUCUGGCUGCACGCCAUCUCCUCCCAUGAUGGGAACGGGCCAUCCACGGC
rnacentral:lncRNA from 1 species